rnacentral:tRNA from 1 species
CGGUCGGUAGCGCAGCUUGGUAGCGCGCUUCGUUCGUGACGAAGAGGCCGCGUGUUCCAAUCCCGCCAGCCCGCCCA